AUUGAACGCUGGCGGCAUGAUUUACACAUGCAAGUCGAACGGUAACAGGCCGCAAGGUGCUGACGAGUGGCGCACGGGUGAGUAAUGCAUCGGAACGUGCCCAGUCGUGGGGGAUAACUACUCGAAGGAGUAGCUAAUACCGCAUACGAUCUAUGGAUGAAAGCGGGGGACCGUAAGGCCUCGCGCGAUUGGAGCGGCCGAUGUCAGAUUAGGUAGUUGGUGGGGUAAAGGCUCACCAAGCCAACGAUCUGUAGCUGGUCUGAGAGGACGACCAGCCACACUGGGACUGAGACACGGCCCAGACUCCUACGGGAGGCAGCAGUGGGGAAUUUUGGACAAUGGGCGCAAGCCUGAUCCAGCAAUGCCGCGUGCAGGAAGAAGGCCUUCGGGUUGUAAACUGCUUUUGUACGGAACGAAACGGCUCUGGUUAAUACCCGGGGCUAAUGACGGUACCGUAAGAAUAAGCACCGGCUAACUACGUG
rnacentral:rRNA from 1 species